UACGGAGGGGGCAAGCGUUGUUCGGAAUUACUGGGCGUAAAGGGCUCGUAGGCGGCCAACUAAGUCAGACGUGAAAUCCCCUCGGCUUAACCGGGGAACUGCGUCUGAUACUGGUUGGCUUGAGUUUGGGAGAGGGAUGCGGAAUUCCAGGUGUAGCGGUGAAAUGCGUAGAUAUCUGGAGGAACACCGGUGGCGAAGGCGGCAUCCUGGACCAACACUGACGCUGAGGAGCGAAAGCCAGGGGAGCAAACGGG
rnacentral:rRNA from 1 species